GAUGAACGCUGGCGGCGUGCCUAAUGCAUGCAAGUCGAGCGAACAGAUGAGGAGCUUGCUCCUCUGACGUUAGCGGCGGACGGGUGAGUAACACGUGGAUAACCUACCUAUAAGACUGGGAUAACUUCGGGAAACCGGAGCUAAUACCGGAUAAUAUAUUGAACCGCAUGGUUCAAUAGUGAAAGACGGUUUUGAUGUCACUUAUAGAUGGAUCCGCGCCGCAUUAGCUAGUUGGUAAGGUAACGGCUUACCAAGGCAACGAUGCGUAGCCGACCUGAGAGGGUGAUCGGCCACACUGGAACUGAGACACGGUCCAGACUCCUACGGGAGGCAGCAGUAGGGAAUCUUCCGCAAUGGGCGAAAGCUUGACGGAGCAACGCCGCGUGAGUGAUGAAGGUCUUCGGAUCGUAAAACUCUGUUAUUAGGGAAGAACAAAUGUGUAAGUAACUAUGCACGUCUUGACGGUACCUAAUCAGAAAGCCACGGCUAACUACGUG
rnacentral:rRNA from 1 species